GUGCUUGCUUUGGCAGCACAUACAGUAAAAUUGGAAUGAUAUAAAGAUUAGCAUGACCCCUGCACAGAAGACAUGCAAAUCUGUGAAGCUUUCUGUUUAAAA
ensembl:snRNA U6 U6 spliceosomal RNA